rnacentral:rRNA from 1 species
CAGCCGCCGCGGGAAUACGAAGGGGGCUAGCGUUGCUCGGAAUGACUGGGCGUAAAGGGCGCGUAGGCGGUUAGUACAGUCGGAUGUGAAAUUCCUGGGCUUAACCUGGGGGCUGCAUUCGAUACGUGCAGGCUUGAGUGUGGAAGAGGGUUGUGGAAUUCCCAGUGUAGAGGUGAAAUUCGUAGAUAUUCGGAAGAACACCAGUGGCGAAGGCGGCUUACUGGCUCAUUCUAGACGCUGAGGUGCGAAAGCGUGGGGAGCAAACAGGAUUAGAUACCCCAGUAGUCCCUGUCUCUUAUAC